UACGUAGGGUGCGAGCGUUGUCCGGAAUUACUGGGCGUAAAGAGUUCGUAGGCGGUUUGUCGCGUCGUUCGUGAAAACUUGGGGCUUAACUCCAAGCGUGCGGGCGAUACGGGCAGACUUGAGUACUACAGGGGAGACUGGAAUUCCUGGUGUAGCGGUGAAAUGCGCAGAUAUCAGGAGGAACACCGGUGGCGAAGGCGGGUCUCUGGGCCGAAAUUGACGCUGAGGAGCGAAAGCGUGGGGAGCAAACAGG
rnacentral:rRNA from 1 species